rnacentral:misc_RNA from 1 species
UGAUCAGAUGUUGAUGAUUCGUGGCAUUGCGCUGUAUCUUGACAGGACAUAUGUCAAGCAAACGCCAAGUGUGUGCUCAUUGUGGGACAUGGGGUUGCAACUUUUCAGAAAACAUUUAUCUUUAUCUUCAGAGGUUGAGCACAAAACUGUUACGGGUCUGUUAAGAAUGAUCGAGAAAGAAAGGCUAGGUGAAGCAAUUAAUCGGACUCUCCUCAACCACCUGUUGAAGAUGUUUACCGCACUAGGAAUUUACUCAGAAAGCUUUGAAAAGCCAUUCCUUGAAUACACUUCUGAGUUUUAUGCUGCUGAA